UACGAAGGGGGCUAGCGUUGUUCGGAAUUACUGGGCGUAAAGCGCACGUAGGCGGAUAUUUAAGUCAGGGGUGAAAUCCCAGAGCUCAACUCUGGAACUGCCUUUGAUACUGGGUAUCUUGAGUAUGGAAGAGGUAAGUGGAAUUCCUGGUGUAGCGGUGAAAAUGCGUAGAUAUCAGGAGGAACACCGGUGGCGAAGGCGGCCCUCUGGACGGUGACUGACGCUGAGACGCGAAAGCGUGGGGAGCAAACAGG
rnacentral:rRNA from 1 species